GACGAACGCUGGCGGCGUGCCUAAUACAUGCAAGUAGAACGCUGAAGAGAGGAGCUUGCUCUUCUUGGAUGAGUUGCGAACGGGUGAGUAACGCGUAGGUAACCUGCCUGGUAGCGGGGGAUAACUAUUGGAAACGAUAGCUAAUACCGCAUAAAAUUGAUUAUUGCAUGAUAAUUAAUUGAAAGAUGCAAUUGCAUCACUACCAGAUGGACCUGCGUUGUAUUAGCUAGUUGGUGAGGUAACGGCUCACCAAGGCGACGAUACAUAGCCGACCUGAGAGGGUGAUCGGCCACACUGGGACUGAGACACGGCCCAGACUCCUACGGGAGGCAGCAGUAGGGAAUCUUCGGCAAUGGGGGGAACCCUGACCGAGCAACGCCGCGUGAGUGAAGAAGGUUUUCGGAUCGUAAAGCUCUGUUGUAAGAGAAGAACGGGUGUGAGAGUGGAAAGUUCACACUGUGACGGUAUCUUACCAGAAAGGGACGGCUAACUACGUGCCAGCAGCCGCGGUAAUACGUAGGUCCCGAGCGUUGUCCGGAUUUAUUGGGCGUAAAGCGAGCGCAGGCGGUUAGAUAAGUCUGAAGUUAAAGGCUGUGGCUUAACCAUAGUAUGCUUUGGAAACUGUUUAACUUGAGUGCAGAAGGGGAGAGUGGAAUUCCAUGUGUAGCGGUGAAAUGCGUAGAUAUAUGGAGGAACACCGGUGGCGAAAGCGGCUCUCUGGUCUGUAACUGACGCUGAGGCUCGAAAGCGUGGGGAGCAAACAGGAUUAGAUACCCUGGUAGUCCACGCCGUAAACGAUGAGUGCUAGGUGUUAGGCCCUUUCCGGGGCUUAGUGCCGCAGCUAACGCAUUAAGCACUCCGCCUGGGGAGUACGACCGCAAGGUUGAAACUCAAAGGAAUUGACGGGGGCCCGCACAAGCGGUGGAGCAUGUGGUUUAAUUCGAGGCAACGCGAAGAACCUUACCAGGUCUUGACAUCCCUCUGACCGCUCUAGAGAUAGAGUUUUCCUUCGGGACAGAGGUGACAGGUGGUGCAUGGUUGUCGUCAGCUCGUGUCGUGAGAUGUUGGGUUAAGUCCCGCAACGAGCGCAACCCCUAUUGUUAGUUGCCAUCAUUCAGUUGGGCACUCUAGCGAGACUGCCGGUAAUAAACCGGAGGAAGGUGGGGAUGACGUCAAAUCAUCAUGCCCCUUGUGACCUGGGCUACACACGUGCUACAAUGGCUGGUACAACGAGUCGCAAGCCGGUGACGGCAAGCUAAUCUCUGAAAGCCAGUCUCAGUUCGGAUUGUAGGCUGCAACUCGCCUACAUGAAGUCGGAAUCGCUAGUAAUCGCGGAUCAGCACGCCGCGGUGAAUACGUUCCCGGGCCU
rnacentral:rRNA from 1 species